UGCGACGAAUGUGAACGAAGGACUCCGAUUCCGAGCGCGUUUCGUAUUUCAAGGACGAAAAGCAACGUAGUCAUUAAGCGAUUCGUCAGUUGGUAAAAUACUUCGCACGCAAGCCAACGCGGGAAAGAUGCACCGCAAGAUUUUAGAGGAAUUUCGAUUUAAAGGAUUUUUGACGCGACAACCGAGAGUGGCAU